rnacentral:rRNA from 1 species
UUGGUUAAGCUAAUAAGUGCGCACGGAGGAUGCCUAGGCGCCAGGAGCCGAAGAAGGACGCGACGAACAGCGAUAUGCUUCGGGGAGCUGUAAGUGAGCUUUGAUCCGGAGAUUUCCGAAUGGGGAAACCCAGCUACCGUAAUGGGUAGUUACCCUCGAGUGAAUACAUAGCUCGUUGGAGGCACACCAGGGGAACUGAAACAUCUAAGUACCCUGAGGAACAGAAAACAAUAGUGAUUCCGUCAGUAGCGGCGAGCGAAAGCGGAGAAGCCCAAACCUAAGAGCUUGCUCUUAGGGGUUGUAGGACGUCUCACAUGGAGUAAGAAAAGAGAAGAUUAAGCGAAGAGGUCUGGAAAGGCCCGUCACAGAAGGUAAAAACCCUGUAGCUGAAAAUCUUCUCUCUCCGAGACGGAUCCUGAGUACCGCGGGACACGAGAAACCCCGUGGGAAUCCGGCAGGACCAUCUGCCAAGGCUAAAUACUACCUGGCGACCGAUAGUGAAGCAGUACCGUGAGGGAAAGGUGAAAAGCACCGCGGGAGCGGAGUGAAAAAGAACCUGAAACCGUGCGCUUACAAGAAGUCAGAGCCCGAUCUAGGGGUGAUGGCGUGCCUUUUGUAGAAUGAACCGGCGAGUUACGUUCACGUGCAAGGUUAAGCUGAUGAGGCGGAGCCGAAGGGAAACCGAGUCUGAAUAGGGCGCCUAAGUACGUGGUCGUAGACCCGAAACCGUGUGAUCUACCCCUGUGCAGGGUGAAGGUGAGGUAACACUCACUGGAGGCCCGAACUCGUGAGCGUUGAAAAGCUCUGGGAUGACGUGGGGGUAGGGGAGAAAUUCCAAUCGAACUCGGAGAUAGCUGGUUCUCCCCGAAAUAGCUUUAGGGCUAGCCUCGAGGUUUAGCAUCAUGGAGGUAGAGCACUGAUUGGGUGCGGGGCCCGCCAAGGGUUACCAAGUCCAGUCAAACUCCGAAUGCCAUGUAUGUAUACUCGGGAGUCAGACGGCGAGUGCUAAGAUCCGUCGUCAAGAGGGAAAGAGCCCAGAUCAUCAGCUAAGGUCCCCAAGUGUGUGUUAAGUGGGAAAGGAUGUGGAGUUGCGAAGACAACCAGGAUGUUGGCUUAGAAGCAGCCACCAUUUAAAGAGUGCGUAAUAGCUCACUGGUCGAGUGACUCUGCGCCGAAAAUGUAACGGGGCUAAACACACCACCGAAGCUAUGGCAGACGCGCGCAAGCGCGCUUGGGUAGGGGAGCGUUGUAUACGGGUUGAAGUCGUACCGGAAGGAACGGUGGACUGUAUACAAGUGAGAAUGCCGGUAUGAGUAACGAAAAGACAGGUGAGAAUCCUGUCCGCCGAAAGCCUAAGGGUUCCUGGGGUAGGUUCGUCCGCCCAGGGUAAGUCGGGACCUAACGCGAGGCCGAAAGGCGUAGUGGAUGGACAACAGGUUGAAAUUCCUGUACCACCGUAAUCCGUUAUGAGCAAUGGGGGGACGCAGGAGGAGAACGACGCGAGCUGAUGGAAUAGCUCGUCCAAGCAGUAAGAGGUGUGUGUAGGCAAAUCCGCACACUGUAACCUCAAGCUGUGAUGGGGAGGGAAAAUCAUAGUACCGAAGGUCAUGUACCCACGCUGCCAAGAAAAGCCUCUAGCCAGGAGAAGGUGCCCGUACCGCAAACCGACACAGGUGGGCGAGAUGAGAAUUCUAAGGCGCGCGGAAGAACUCUCGUUAAGGAACUCGGCAAAAUGACCCCGUAACUUCGGGAGAAGGGGUGCCCCGGUAGUGUGAAUAGCACGAGGGGGCCGCAGUGAAGAGGCCCAAGCGACUGUUUAGCAAAAACACAGGUCUGUGCGAAGCCGUAAGGCGAAGUAUACGGGCUGACGCCUGCCCGGUGCUGGAAGGUUAAGAGGAGUGGUUAGGGGCAACCCGAAGCUAUGAAUUGAAGCCCCAGUAAACGGCGGCCGUAACUAUAACGGUCCUAAGGUAGCGAAAUUCCUUGUCAGGUAAAUUCUGACCCGCACGAAUGGCGUAACGACUUGGGCGCUGUCUCAACGAGAGAUCCGGUGAAAUUUUAGUACCUGUGAAGAUGCAGGUUACCCGCGACGUGACGGAAAGACCCCAUGGAGCUUUACUGUAGCUUGAUAUUGAACUUUGGUACGGUCUGUACAGGAUAGGUGGGAGCCUAUGAAGCAGGAGCGCAAGCUUCUGUGGAGGCGCCGUUGGGAUACCACCCUGAUCGUAUCGGAGUUCUAACCUACUACCGUUAACCGGUAGAGGGACCGUGUCAGGCGGACAGUUUGACUGGGGCGGUCGCCUCCUAAAGAGUAACGGAGGCGCUCUAAGGUUCCCUCAGCGCGGUUGGAAAUCGCGCGCAGAGUGCAAAGGCAUAAGGGAGCUUGACUGCGAGACCUACAAGUCGAGCAGGGACGAAAGUCGGACUUAGUGAUCCGGUGGUACCGAAUGGAAGGGCCAUCGCUCAACGGAUAAAAGCUACCCUGGGGAUAACAGGCUUAUCUCCCCCAAGAGUCCACAUCGACGGGGAGGUUUGGCACCUCGAUGUCGGCUCAUCGCAUCCUGGGGCUGAAGUAGGUCCCAAGGGUUGGGCUGUUCGCCCAUUAAAGCGGUACGCGAGCUGGGUUCAGAACGUCGUGAGACAGUUCGGUCCCUAUCUGUCGCGGGCGUAGGAAAUUUGAGAGGGGCUGUCCUUAGUACGAGAGGACCGGGAUGGACGCACCGCUGGUGUACCAGUUGUUCCGCCAGGAGCACCGCUGGGUAGCCAAGUGCGGAAGGGAUAAGCGCUGAAAGCAUCUAAGCGCGAAGCCUGCCUCAAGAUGAGAUUUCCCAAUUCGUAAGACCCCUGGAAGAACACCAGGUUGAUAGGCUCGGGGUGGAAGCGCAGCAAUGUGUGGAGCUGACGGGUACUAAUCGGUCGAGGGCUUAUCCUAA